CCCAUAUGGCUCGCUGCUCGAGUCCUGUGUCUUCCCCCACUGAUUUCGGUCACCCCCGACUCCGGCGAUCCCCUUCGCCGCCGGCGAUAUCGAAAUAAGAAAGGGAGGAAAAGAAAUUCCAAUCCGACAUCUGAGGAGGUGAAUAAUCGGUUGCCUGUCCCCUUUUUCCGUUCGGUUUAAGCACUCGCGUUCCUGCCUCUAGCUGUAUCUGACCAAAAACCCUAACCCCGCUGAUCCCUUAGCCACAGCUGCUUCCGAUGGACGCCGCGGCCGUUGCCGAGAGAGGAAUUGCGGAGAAAGCGGCCGACCCGCGGGCAUUAAGCUCGAUCCUAGCCGGAGUAAGGGUCUCUCGUCUGAAACUGCCCUUUGCUUUGCUUUCGUUCGUUCCUGUUGUUUCGGUGCAUUGUUCGUGCUCUGCUAGGUUGGUUUUAGCUAUGUCCGUUGGAAAUCAUGGUACUCCCUCGGACCCAUAUUACUUGUCUCAAAUUUGUCCAAAUAUAUAUCUAUGUUUAAAAGGCGUUUAGAUACUUGUGAUAUUUUGACAAGUAAUUCCGGCCGGAGGGAGUAACAUACCAUGGAAUUUUUAUGGGAGAUUAAUAUAGUUGAGUUAUUGCACACUACUUGAAUAGCGAACAUUCAUAGAAACAAGCCGAUUUACAACUACGAAUUCUUCAUAAGCAUUAUCAACUUACAGACAUAUGGCCCAUAGUUUUGUUACUACUGCUCGGAAUUUUGCAAGACAAAUCAAUUUAUGGAAGAUUUGCGCGAUACAUUUAUUCUUGUUGUACAAUUAGAUGACCAGAAUCCUCGUCAGUGAAGUACGCGGUUGCAUUCGAUCCGUGCAAAGAAGCAGAGUUCUCUUCGGAGAGAUCACCGUAAGCCACUCUCUCCAAGGACUGAACCUGCCCAGAACCUUCAGGCAUCCUUGGGAGCACAGGCAACUUUGCAUCUUCAGAACGCAGAACAUCCAUAGCCUGCGUAAUGGACGGCCGCUGGAUGGGGUCCUGCUGCGUGCACCAAAGCCCCGUCACCAGCAGACGCUCCAUCUGCAGACUGUCGAACACGCCUUCCAGCCUCCGGUCUGCCGCGUCAAAGACCAUGUUCCGGUGGUACAUUUCACGUACCGCCGCCAGCAGUGCCGCUGCCGAUGCUUGAGCCUGACCCUCUUGCCUCAACAACGACGUCGGUCGUCUGCCGCAGGCGAUCUCAAGGAGCACGACGCCGAAGCUGUACACGUCGGACUCAGUGCUUGGCCUGCGGCUGUUGAUGAACUCCGGGUCGAUGUACCCGACAGUUCCUGCAACAACUUGUGUCGUUUGUGGCUCCGCUCCGUGGUCGACGAGUCUCGCUAGCCCAAAGUCACCGAGCUUGGCGUUGCCUGACGCGUCGAGCAUCACGUUUGCCGGUUUGAUGUCUCCGUGGACGACACACUGCUCGCAGUCCGUGUGGAGGUACCGGAGGGCAGACCCUAGGCCGAGAGCGAUCUUGUACCUGCAGCAGUAAGCAGUAUUUUGGAGCAUUUUAGAAUGAAGUUUUGGUUUUUGGCACAAAAUUUUCGAAUACACUAGUCUGGUAAAAAAAAUACUCCUAUUGGAAUUUUGAAGGGUUUUGAAUAGACGACUGGUGUACCUGUGUGACCAAGUUAAGUGUUUGUCAGGGUUGUACAGAUAUGUGUCGAGGCUGCCUCCGGACAUGAACUCGUAGACGAGGGCUAGUCCUCCUCUCCGGCUCUCUGACCAGCCAGCGAGCUGGAUGAUAUUUCGAUGCCUAAGCUGGCUUACAAUGGUGACCUCGGCUUCAAACUCCCUGAGACCCUGCACGGACUGGUCCUGCGAGAGCACCUUGAUGGCCACAUGACGGUCUUCCUCACUCAAGUGGCCUCCGUAGACCGGACCGAAUCCUCCUCUCCCGAUCUUUCUGUCUUCUGCGAAAUUGCCCGUCACGGCGGCGAGCUCGCCAUAACUGAACUUCCUAGGGCCCAAUAAUCUUGGGUGGAUUUCAGGUUCUGUUAUGAUAGGCUGGUCAUCGUCUUCCAGCUGGAUAGCCGCUGUAGUGCUCUGCUGCGGUGUCUUGCUACGUAUGCAGCAGAGCAGAAGUCCUGCCACGGUGCAGAUCAACCCAAUCAAAGCUGACCCCACGACAGAUGCUUGCGCCAACCAUGGCCGCGCAGCCUGCCCACGGGUUGCAAUUGCAACAUGCUGUUUUGUCAAGCUCCAGUCAUCUAUGCCUGACAAAUGGGACAAUAAUCUUCGAGCACUAGGUUCUGCGCUGAGCAGGUUCGUGCUGAGGUCCAUGAAGAUUAGAUUGCGCAUAGUAGGAAGUUGAGAUUCUUGAAAAUAUGGCGGGUUUGUUUUCUUGUAUGCCGUGGAGUUGACGGAAUAGACAUCGAUGCCGAUGUGAUUGCUUCUUAGAUCGCACAUUUCCAUGUUCAGAAAGUAGUCGAACUCGACCUCGAGAAAGCGGUGGUCGCUCUUCCAGCUUGGGCUGGAGCCUGGGAACGGGAGGUUCUGCCCCAAGCUAUUUGGUGGCAUCUCCAAAGGAAAAUGCGGGAAGAAGGCCAUUUCAUCGCCAGAAUACAAGGAGCUACCGGUGGCGUUGAGCCCGCGGUUCUGGCAGCUACGGUGCGCUUUCCUUUGGUCACGAAUGGCUUCUGUGAUAGAUGCAGCCGUGGCCAAGACCAUCCACUCGCUAAAACUGACUUGGGUGGAUGAAAUGGAACAAAAUAGGAGCCAGAACAGCAGGAAGAGGGAAGGGAGACGGAAGCAAGCUCUAGCCAUUUGCUGGUUCGUGUGGUACUGUACAACUGUUGAAAGAAAUGGAUGGAUGAGUCUGGUAGAUCAAACACAGGACUUGAGACUUGAGACUUGAGAUGGACUGUUAGUUAGUAGUACCGCAGUAUAUAAAGCUUGGUCUCCUGACUUGUCGACAAAAAAAUAAUUAUAAUAUAUAAAGCCGGCCGAGUUGUUAAUUAAUUAGCAGACGUCAGUCUACUUGACUUUGACUCCGGUGCCUUGGUAGUUUCUCCUUCGAUACGAGGAAGCUUCGUCCUCUUUUUUGAGGGAAAGCUUUAGGUCACAAGACCUAUAGCAAAUUAUAUUAAAAGAGCAAAAGUUAUGUACAGAGGUGAUAACCAAUGGUUAUCAAGGAUUAUCUAAAUCUGUCAAUCCAGUUUCUAAAUUGGGAGUAUCUCUUUCUCUUGGAUCUAUGAAAGACCUGCCUGCAUCAGUAGAGAGAUGGUCAGGUAUUAUUGAAUACACAGUCAUUACGAAUUUUUCAGAUGCUCCAACAAACAAGUUUAGUGAUCUCCAUAUGGAAAGCAAUUUUGAGCUGGUCCUUCAGGUUUCUAAUGUUAGCAUGAACGUUACCAGCUGAGGUGAACUGGGGGCAAAGAUAUCUCCAGCAGCUGAGUGAGAAAGGGCACCGAAAAAAGAGAUGAUCUCUAGUUUCCAGAUGAACGCCCUGACAGAGCGAAGCUUCGUCCUCUCGACUCUCGAGGUGUGUAGGAUUCAUUUUCUCGGGUUUUUUACAAGUAUCGAUCUAUGUUACUAAUUAAAUAGUGGGUACUAAUAUCCCUGUCAAAAAAAAUAGUGGGUACUACUGUAACAGAUUUGUGGUAACAUAGAAAUUUUAUUUAUUAGCUUACAGAG
rnacentral:lncRNA from 1 species